rnacentral:rRNA from 1 species
UACGUAGGGGGCUAGCGUUGUCCGGAAUCAUUGGGCGUAAAGCGCGUGUAGGCGGUCCGGUAAGUCCGCUGUGAAAGUCGGGGGCUCAACCCUCGAAAGCCGGUGGAAACUGUCGGGCUAGAGUGCGGAAGAGGCGAGUGGAAUUCCUGGUGUAGCGGUGAAAUGCGCAGAUAUCAGGAGGAACACCAAUUGCGAAGGCAGCUCGCUGGGACGUUACUGACGCUGAGACGCGAAAGCGUGGGGAGCAAACAGG